GAAAUAACCCUGAUUAAACUUCUAAUUUAAUACCUAGUGAUCUUAAAUCAUUAUUAUUUCU
rnacentral:tRNA from 1 species